UACGUAGGGUGCAAGCGUUAAUCGGAAUUACUGGGCGUAAAGCGUGCGCAGGCGGUUAUGUAAGACAGGUGUGAAAUCCCAGGGCUUAACCUUGGAACUGCAUUUGUGACUGCAUAGCUAGAGUACGGUAGAGGGGGAUGGAAUUCCGCGUGUAGCAGUGAAAUGCGUAGAUAUGCGGAGGAACACCGAUGGCGAAGGCAAUCCCCUGGACCUGUACUGACGCUCAUGCACGAAAGCGUGGGGAGCAAACGAGG
rnacentral:rRNA from 1 species